rnacentral:rRNA from 1 species
GCUUACACAUGCAGUCGAACGAUGAAGGAGGAGCUUGCUCCUCUGGAUUAGUGGCGAACGGGUGAGUAAUACGUGAGCAAUGUGCCCUUGACUCUGGGAUAAGCGCUGGAAACGGCGUCUAAUACCGGAUACGACCCUCGGAGGCAUCUCCUGAUGGUGGAAAGAACUUCGGUCAAGGAUCAGCUCACGGCCUAUCAGCUAGUUGGUGAGGUAACGGCUCACCAAGGCGACGACGGGUAGCCGGCCUGAGAGGGUGACCGGCCACACUGGGACUGAGACACGGCCCAGACUCCUACGGGAGGCAGCAGUGGGGAAUAUUGCACAAUGGGCGCAAGCCUGAUGCAGCAACGCCGCGUGAGGGACGAAGGCCUUCGGGUUGUAAACCUCUUUUAGCAGGGAAGAAGCGAAAGUGACGGUACCUGCAGAAAAAGCACCGGCUAACUACGUGCCAGCAGCCGCGGUAAUACGUAGGGUGCAAGCGUUGUCCGGAAUUAUUGGGCGUAAAGAGCUCGUAGGCGGUUUGUCGCGUCUGCUGUGAAAACCCGAGGCUCAACCUCGGGCUUGCAGUGGGUACGGGCAGACUAGAGUGCGGUAGGGGAGAUUGGAAUUCCUGGUGUAGCGGUGGAAUGCGCAGAUAUCAGGAGGAACACCGAUGGCGAAGGCAGAUCUCUGGGCCGUAACUGACGCUGAGGAGCGAAAGCAUGGGGAGCAAACAGGCUUAGAUACCCUGGUAGUCCAUGCCGUAAACGUUGGGAACUAGAUGUGGGGACCAUUCCACGGUCUCCGUGUCGUAGCUAACGCAUUAAGUUCCCCGCCUGGGGAGUACGGCCGCAAGGCUAAAACUCAAAGGAAUUGACGGGGGCCC